rnacentral:rRNA from 1 species
CCUACGGGGCGCAGCAGUGAGGAAUAUUGGUCAAUGGGCGGGAGCCUGAACCAGCCAAGCCGCGUGAGGGAAGAAGGUACAGCGUAUCGUAAACCUCUUUUGUCAGGGAACAAAGGCGGGGACUAGUCCCCGGAUGAGGGUACCUGAAGAAAAAGCAUCGGCUAACUCCGUGCCAGCAGCCGCGGUAAUACGGAGGAUGCGAGCGUUAUCCGGAUUUAUGGGGUUUAAAGGGUGCGCAGGCGGCCUGUUAAGUCAGCGGUAAAAGCCCGGGGCUCAACCCCGGCGAGCCGUUGAAACUGGCGGGCUGGAGUUGGAGAGAAGUACGCGGAAUGCGCGGUGUAGCGGUGAAAUGCUUAGAGAUCGCGCAGAACCCCGAUUGCGAAGGCAGCGUACCGGCUCCACACUGACGCUGAGGCACGAAAGCGUGGGUAUCGAACAGGAUUAGAUACCCCAGUAGUC